rnacentral:rRNA from 1 species
CCCUAUGGGGUGCAGCAGCUGCGAGAACUCUACAACGCGUGAAAACGUGAUAGGGGGAUUCCAAGUGCUUAUACUUCGUGUAUAGGCUUUUGUUAUAUGUAAAAAGUAUGAUGAAUAAGUGGUGGGUAAGACGGGUGCCAGCCGCCGCGGUAACACCUGCGCCACAAGUGGUAAUCAUGUCUAUUGGGCCUAAAGCGUUCGUAGCCGGUUUGAUAAGUUCUGAGUGAAAUUAUUCUGCUUAACAGAAUAGCGUGCUUGGGAUACUGUCAGACUAGGGACCGGGAGACGUUAGAAGUAUGGGAAGGGAAGCGGUAAAAUGUGAUAAUCCUUCUUAGACUGCCGAUGGCGAAGGCAUCUAACGAGAACGGAUCCGACGGUGAGGGACGAAAGCCAGGGGAGCAAAAGGGAUUAGAUACCCCUGUAGUCCUGGCUGUAAACGCUGUGAACUAGGUGUUGCACAUUCCACGCGAAUAUGCAGCGCCGUAGAUAAGUCGUUAAGUUCACCGCCUGGGAAGUACGGUCGCAAGGCUGAAACUUAAAGGAAUUGGCGGGGGAGCACCACAAGGGGUGCGGCGUGCGGUUUAAUCUAACUCCACGCAGAGAAUCUCACCAAGAGCGACGGCAGAUGAUAGUCAGCCUAAUGGGCUUACUGGAUGAGCCGAGAGGAAGUGCAUGGC